rnacentral:lncRNA from 1 species
GCCUUCUCCAAUAACCAUUUUCUGCUUGAGUCCUCUAGACGUUGGAAUAUAGCACAAGGGAAGUGUGCUCAAAGGAAAACUGGAGCUUUGGACCCAAGCUUAAUCAGCAGCCUUCCCUGAAGUCAAUUAGGGCGAGUUGACGGAGAGAGGCUUUUGCAGAAAAAGUCUCCAGAACGACCUUCCUGAGUUCAAAUCUGGAUUCCAAAACUAAGUAGCUGUGUGAUCCUGGUUUCAGAUGCUGGAGGUGAUCCCUAUGAACUUGGGGAUUUGAGCCAUGGUGACUUGGAACCAGGAUUUCAGUUAUAUCUAUCAAGGGUAUCCUUGAUGAAAACAUGAAAAGGAACAGGCAGGCCUCUGCAAUUUUCUAUAGCAGUCCACAUCUUUGCUGUCGC